CCCUAAUUGUUUUAUCUCUUCCAAAAUCACAACCCUGAAUAUUUAUUGUUUAAAGAUUUCUCCCAACAACAACAACAAUCCACGACACCUGGUGGCCUAAAUGAAGACCUCACAAUCGAUGUUCUUUUUAGGAAGCUAGGCAGGAAGUACGCCUUUUCGUUUCUCUUCUGGACGAUCAAUAUCAAUAGGAGUAAUAUAUAAUUUAAUUUCCUUUUAUAGAGAUAUCUUUUUUUUUGUAUGGCAUAGAUUUCUUCUACACUCUAAUUUGUAAGGUAAAACUGAUGAUGCCGAGAAAUUGGUGGAUGAGAUGAGGGAGGAUGAGUUGUUUGCAAUAUUCAUUAAAUGUCUGCUUCGGGAUAUGUUGACGGCAAAGAUUAUGGUUUUUUUUUUGCGUGUUGAUUUCGGCUCUGUUUAGAGAGGAAGAGGGUUGCGAUUUCUGGGUAGAUUUCGGGUUUGAAGGAGGUUGAAAUUGGUGGAGAUUUUUGGGUUUUGGGUGCUGCUUCAGGCUGGAUUUUUGGGUUUGUUCAAGUGGUAGAGUUUGGCGCGAUUUCUGGGGUUGUUCGACAUAGAGAGAGGCUGUGAUUGUAGUGGGCUACUGCAAUUUUGGGCUGGAACAAUGGUGGCUGUUCGGGCACUCUCCUAUUUCUUUCUGUGUCCGAAACCUGUUCGAUAAAAGUCAUUUUGAUGGAGGAUGGUGGAGGUGGCCACUUCUUGGAUGGAUUUGAAUAAGAGAGAAAUGUAGGUGAAAUUGAAGCUAGCGAGAAUAGUGGAGGUGGCAAUGUGAGAUCACCCACUUUGAUGCUUGUUAGUAAACUAAUUGAUGGUUAUCUUUCUGAGAUUGCAUCAGAUGCAAAUUUUAGCCUGAUAGAUUCUAUAAUCUUGCAAUUUAACUACCGGAGCAAGCUAGACUCGUUGAUGAUGGCCUUUACCGAGUUGUAGAUGUCUAUCUCAAGGCACGUCCAUGGAUAUCAGAGGCAGAGUGAGAGAAGAUACAUGGAGUAAUGCAUCAUGAACUUGCAAGCCAUCAUCAGUGUGGCUGCUCAGAAAAUUAAGACUAGUAAUUGCAAACCAUAACUCUCACUUGUCCCUUUUCAAAUUGCAUAUGCCAUGGAGUUUGUGCAUGCAUGGAAUGCCAGCAUAUUGUGAGAAUUCAGUCUUUGCAAACAAGCAGUUUAACAUGUGCAUAGACAAGUAUAUGCAUUUACAAAUUACCUAAGAAAAUAAAAUAGGAGAAUAUAAUUCUAUAAAGGCAAAUGUUCUAACCUCACUGUUGUUUACCCAACUGCUGAAUGGGCAAUGUACGAGUUCCAUUGAUAAUGAAAGUUUGUCAUUUCGUGAAA